GUGCUCACUUCAGCAGCACACAUACUAAGAUUGGAACAAUACAGGGAAAAUUAGCAUGGUCCCUCCACAAGGAUGACACGCAAAUUUGUGAAGCAUUCCAUAUUUUU
ensembl:snRNA U6 U6 spliceosomal RNA